rnacentral:rRNA from 5 species
UGUCUGGCGGCUUUAGCGCGGUGGUCCCACCUGACCCCAUGCCGAACUCAGAAGUGAAACGCCGUAGCGCCGAUGGUAGUGUGGGGUCUCCCCAUGUGAGAGUAGGGAACUGCCAGACAU